rnacentral:rRNA from 1 species
UCAUGCAAGUCGAACGGACGUUUUCGGACGUUAGUGGCGGACGGGUGAGUAACGCAUGAGAAUCUGCCUUCAGGUUGGGGACAACAGUUGGAAACGACUGCUAAUACCCAAUGUGCCGAGAGGUGAAAGCUUUAGUGCCUGAGGAUGAGCUCGCGUCUGAUUAGCUAGUUGGAGUGGUAAUGGCACACCAAGGCGACGAUCAGUAGCUGGUCUGAGAGGAUGAUCAGCCACACUGGGACUGAGACACGGCCCAGACUCCUACGGGAGGCAGCAGUGGGGAAUUUUCCGCAAUGGGCGCAAGCCUGACGGAGCAAGACCGCGUGAGGGAGGAAGGCUCUUGGGUUGUAAACCUCUUUUAUCAGGGAAGAAGAUCUGACGGUACCUGAUGAAUCAGCAUCGGCUAACUCCGUGCCAGCAGCCGCGGUAAUACGGAGGAUGCAAGCGUUAUCCGGAUUUAUUGGGCGUAAAGCGUCCGCAGGUGGUUUUUCAAGUCUGCUGUUAAAGCGCGAGGCUUAGCCUCGUAACGGCGGUGGAAACUGAGAGACUAGAGUAUGGUAGGGGUAGCGGGAAUUCCCAGUGUAGCGGUGAAAUGCGUAGAUAUUGGGAAGAACACCAGCGGCGAAAGCGCGCUACUGGGCCAUAACUGACACUCAUGGACGAAAGCUAGGGGAGCGAAAGGGAUUAGAUACCCCUGUAGUCCUAGCUGUAAACGAUGGAUACUAGGUGUUGCCCGUAUCGACCCGGGCAGUGCCGUAGCUAACGCGUUAAGU